UCCAGAUCUUCGCCAGCCUCCCUGCAGGGACCUGAUCCCCCGUCAGCCGCAUCCCUGCUUGGGUCUCUGUCGAAUGCCUGGUGCUGUUACGUGGCUGCCAACGAGGCUGGACCCCUCUUAUCACCGUCCAGGCUGACUCGGAGUCAGCACUCUGCUUCCAGCUCCCCUGGAAGACGUCAUUUCCCCUGAGAAAUGUCUUUGCACCCCUAAAAGGAGCAGUGUGACAGUCAGUGUAGGUGAUAGAGACAGCCGUCAACUGAUUCAUUUACACCCAGAUGGACGGGACCUCGGAUUCCAGUUGGUGGAGGUGAAGUCAACAAGUGUGGAAAGAAAACAAACUCACUUUCACACAUUCUUCAUCCACCCCUCGGCU
ensembl:lncRNA